rnacentral:rRNA from 1 species
UACGUAGGGAGCAAGCGUUGUCCGGAAUCAUUGGGCGUAAAGCGCGCGUAGGUGGCCUCAUAAGUCCGCUGUGAAAGUCAAAGGCUCAACCUUUGAAAGCCGGUGGAUACUGUGGGGCUAGAGUACGGAAGAGGCGAGUGGAAUUCCCGGUGUAGUGGUGAAAUGCGUAGAUAUCGGGAGGAACACCAGUGGCGAAGGCGACUACCUGGCCUGUUCUUGACGCUGAGGCGCGAAAGCUAGGGGAGCAAACGGG